rnacentral:rRNA from 1 species
GCACAACGCGAAGAACCUUACCACCUUUUGACAUGCCUGGACCGCCACAGAGAUGUGGCUUUCCCUUCGGGGACUGGGACACAGGUGCUGCAUGGCUGUCGUCAGCUCGUGUCGUGAAAUGUUGAGUUAAGUCCCGCAACGAGCGCAACCCUUAUCCUUGUUGCCAGCGGUUAAGGCCGGGAACUCAAAGGAGACUGCCAGUGACUAAAACUGGAGGAAGGUGGGGAUGACGUCAAGUCAUCAUGGCCCGUUAGACCAGGGCUACACACGUAGCUACAAUGGUACGGGUUACAAAGGGUUCGCUACCGUAGCGGAUACGGAUGCUAAUCUCAAAAGCCGAUCGUAGUCCGGAUCGACAGUCU